rnacentral:rRNA from 1 species
UACGAAGGGGGCUAGCGUUGCUCGGAAUCACUGGGCGUAAAGCGCACGUAGGCGGAUUGCUAAGUCAGGGGUGAAAUCCGGAGCUCAACUCCGGAACUGCCUUUGAUACUGGCGAUCUUGGGUUCGGGAGAGGUGAGUGGAACUGCGAGUGUAGAGGUGAAAUUCGUAGAUAUUCGCAAGAACACCGGUGGCGAAGGCGGUCAACUGGCCCUGAACUGACGCUCAGGCACGAAAGCGUGGGGAUCAAACAGG